GCUAAUGUAGCAUAACCCGGCGCUUGCUAAAGAUCUAAGCCCUUUUUAUAGAAGUUCAAAUCUUCUCAUUAGCU
rnacentral:tRNA from 1 species